rnacentral:lncRNA from 1 species
UUUAUAACUUCAUAAUGGCUUUCCCUUCCUUUGUUACUUAGAGUCCCUGAAGCUGUCUCUAAUUCCCUGGGUAAGAGCUGAUGAUACCACAAAGUGUUGGAUUGAGGUUUGUGUCUGUUUUCAAGAUGAAUGUCUACAUAAUUGUUUUCAUCGUGAGAGUAUCUGCUCUAUGACAACAGACCUUGGAAAGCUGUUCAUGAGGGAAUUGAGCAUAUCUGGCUUCUCUCCUUAUAACUGAAGAUAUUGUCAUCAUUAAAAUCCAGAACUGGUCAACCUGUGGCAGUUUUAGGAGCAGAGAAGGAACCAAGCCAUGCUCAGGAGGAAUGGGCAAGAAGAGGGAGUCACAGAUGCUAAGG